UUAAGCGACUAAGCGUACACGGUGGAUGCCCUGGCAGUCAGAGGCGAUGAAGGACGUGCUAAUCUGCGAUAAGCGUCGGUAAGGUGAUAUGAACCGUUAUAACCGGCGAUUUCCGAAUGGGGAAACCCAGUGUGAUUCGUCACACUAUCAUUAACUGAAUCCAUAGGUUAAUGAGGCGAACCGGGGGAACUGAAACAUCUAAGUACCCCGAGGAAAAGAAAUCAACCGAGAUUCCCCCAGUAGCGGCGAGCGAACGGGGAGCAGCCCAGAGCCUGAAUCAGUGUGUGUGUUAGUGGAAGCGUCUGGAAAGGCGCGCGAUACAGGGUGACAGCCCCGUACACAAAAAUGCACAUGCUGUGAGCUCGAUGAGUAGGGCGGGACACGUGGUAUCCUGUCUGAAUAUGGGGGGACCAUCCUCCAAGGCUAAAUACUCCUGACUGACCGAUAGUAAACCAGUACCGUGAGGGAAAGGCGAAAAGAACCCCGGCGAGGGGAGUGAAAAAGAACCUGAAACCGUGUACGUACAAGCAGUGGGAGCACAGAGCAAUCUGUGUGACUGCGUACCUUUUGUAUAAUGGGUCAGCGACUUAUAUUCUGUAGCAAGGUUAACCGAAUAGGGGAGCCGAAGGGAAACCGAGUCUUAACUGGGCGUUAAGUUGCAGGGUAUAGACCCGAAACCCGGUGAUCUAGCCAUGGGCAGGUUGAAGGUUGGGUAACACUAACUGGAGGACCGAACCGACUAAUGUUGAAAAAUUAGCGGAUGACUUGUGGCUGGGGGUGAAAGGCCAAUCAAACCGGGAGAUAGCUGGUUCUCCCCGAAAGCUAUUUAGGUAGCGCCUCGUGAAUUCAUCUCCGGGGGUAGAGCACUGUUUCGGCAAGGGGGUCAUCCCGACUUACCAACCCGAUGCAAACUGCGAAUACCGGAGAAUGUUAUCACGGGAGACACACGGCGGGUGCUAACGUCCGUCGUGAAGAGGGAAACAACCCAGACCGCCAGCUAAGGUCCCAAAGUCAUGGUUAAGUGGGAAACGAUGUGGGAAGGCCCAGACAGCCAGGAUGUUGGCUUAGAAGCAGCCAUCAUUUAAAGAAAGCGUAAUAGCUCACUGGUCGAGUCGGCCUGCGCGGAAGAUGUAACGGGGCUAAACCAUGCACCGAAGCUGCGGCAGCGACGCUGAUGCGUUGUUGGGUAGGGGAGCGUUCUGUAAGCCUGCGAAGGUGUGCUGUGAGGCAUGCUGGAGGUAUCAGAAGUGCGAAUGCUGACAUAAGUAACGAUAAAGCGGGUGAAAAGCCCGCUCGCCGGAAGACCAAGGGUUCCUGUCCAACGUUAAUCGGGGCAGGGUGAGUCGACCCCUAAGGCGAGGCCGAAAGGCGUAGUCGAUGGGAAACAGGUUAAUAUUCCUGUACUUGGUGUUACUGCGAAGGGGGGACGGAGAAGGCUAUGUUGGCCGGGCGACGGUUGUCCCGGUUUAAGCGUGUAGGCUGGUUUUCCAGGCAAAUCCGGAAAAUCAAGGCUGAGGCGUGAUGACGAGGCACUACGGUGCUGAAGCAACAAAUGCCCUGCUUCCAGGAAAAGCCUCUAAGCAUCAGGUAACAUCAAAUCGUACCCCAAACCGACACAGGUGGUCAGGUAGAGAAUACCAAGGCGCUUGAGAGAACUCGGGUGAAGGAACUAGGCAAAAUGGUGCCGUAACUUCGGGAGAAGGCACGCUGAUAUGUAGGUGAAGUCCCUCGCGGAUGGAGCUGAAAUCAGUCGAAGAUACCAGCUGGCUGCAACUGUUUAUUAAAAACACAGCACUGUGCAAACACGAAAGUGGACGUAUACGGUGUGACGCCUGCCCGGUGCCGGAAGGUUAAUUGAUGGGGUCAGCGCAAGCGAAGCUCUUGAUCGAAGCCCCGGUAAACGGCGGCCGUAACUAUAACGGUCCUAAGGUAGCGAAAUUCCUUGUCGGGUAAGUUCCGACCUGCACGAAUGGCGUAAUGAUGGCCAGGCUGUCUCCACCCGAGACUCAGUGAAAUUGAACUCGCUGUGAAGAUGCAGUGUACCCGCGGCAAGACGGAAAGACCCCGUGAACCUUUACUAUAGCUUGACACUGAACAUUGAGCCUUGAUGUGUAGGAUAGGUGGGAGGCUUUGAAGUGUGGACGCCAGUCUGCAUGGAGCCGGCCUUGAAAUACCACCCUUUAAUGUUUGAUGUUCUAACGUUGACCCGUAAUCCGGGUUGCGGACAGUGUCUGGUGGGUAGUUUGACUGGGGCGGUCUCCUCCUAAAGAGUAACGGAGGAGCACGAAGGUUGGCUAAUCCUGGUCGGACAUCAGGAGGUUAGUGCAAUGGCAUAAGCCAGCUUGACUGCGAGCGUGACGGCGCGAGCAGGUGCGAAAGCAGGUCAUAGUGAUCCGGUGGUUCUGAAUGGAAGGGCCAUCGCUCAACGGAUAAAAGGUACUCCGGGGAUAACAGGCUGAUACCGCCCAAGAGUUCAUAUCGACGGCGGUGUUUGGCACCUCGAUGUCGGCUCAUCACAUCCUGGGGCUGAAGUAGGUCCCAAGGGUAUGGCUGUUCGCCAUUUAAAGUGGUACGCGAGCUGGGUUUAGAACGUCGUGAGACAGUUCGGUCCCUAUCUGCCGUGGGCGCUGGAGAACUGAGGGGGGCUGCUCCUAGUACGAGAGGACCGGAGUGGACGCAUCACUGGUGUUCGGGUUGUCAUGCCAAUGGCACUGCCCGGUAGCUAAAUGCGGAAGAGAUAAGUGCUGAAAGCAUCUAAGCACGAAACUUGCCCCGAGAUGAGUUCUCCCUGACUCCUUGAGAGUCCUGAAGGAACGUUGAAGACGACGACGUUGAUAGGUCGGGUGUGUAAGCGCAGCGAUGCGUUGAGCUAACCGGUACUAAUGAACCGUGAGGCUUAACCUU
rnacentral:rRNA from 1 species